rfam:Aedes albopictus isolate Foshan contig15547, whole genome shotgun sequence.
GUGGCGUAGCGGCAACGCGCCUGUCUAGUGAGUAGGAGUCGUGAGUUCGAGUCUCACC